GUCGGUCUUCGGUAGUGGCCAUCCGGACGAGUUCCGGCCGGCUUCGAUCGACGGCCGCC
rfam:Rhodococcus equi ATCC 33707 chromosome, whole genome shotgun sequence.